rnacentral:miRNA from 1 species
UCCUGCGUCGACUUCUCAGGAGA